rnacentral:rRNA from 1 species
AUAAUAAUUUGUUUUUUAAUUGAAAGCUUGAAUGAAGGGUUGAACGAGAGGUGGCUAUUUUUAAUAUUUAAGUGAAAUUGAAAGCAAGUAAAAAAUCUUGGUUAUUUUGCUCAGGGACGACAAGACCCUGUAAAGUUUAAAUUUUUAUUUUUUGGGGGGAGGAAGGUGUCACAGGUAAGAUUUUAGCUGGGACGGCUUGUCUAUGAGAGUAGCUAGAUCACAUAGAACAUUUUUAAAGUGAGCUAAGGAGGCCCUCAAGGAGGGAAAGAAAUAAUUACUUUA